rnacentral:rRNA from 1 species
UACGUAGGUGGCGAGCGUUGUCCGGAUUUACUGGGCGUAAAGAGCGCGCAGGCGGUCGUCCAAGUCGCGUGUGAAAGCCCCCCGGCUCAACUGGGGAGGGUCACGCGAUACUGGUCGACUCGAAGGCAGGAGAGGGUAGUGGAAUUCCCGGUGUAGUGGUGAAAUGCGUAGAUAUCAGGAGGAACACCGGUGGCGAAGGCGGCUCUCUGGACCACAACUGACGCUGAGGCGCGAAAGCUAGGGGAGCAAACAGG